rnacentral:rRNA from 1 species
UACGUAGGGUGCAAGCGUUGUCCGGAAUUAUUGGGCGUAAAGAGCUCGUAGGCGGUUCGUCGCGUCGGCUGUGAAAUCCCGAGGCUCAACCUCGGGUCUGCAGUCGAUACGGGCGGACUGGAGUUCGGCAGGGGAGACUGGAAUUCCUGGUGUAGCGGUGAAAUGCGCAGAUAUCAGGAGGAACACCGGUGGCGAAGGCGGGUCUCUGGGCCGAUGACUGACGCUGAGGAGCGAA